CGGCUAACUCCGUGCCAGCAGCCGCGGUAAUACGGAGGAUGCAAGCGUUAUCCGGAAUCAUUGGGCGUAAAGCGUCCGCAGGUGGUUUCCAAAGUCUGCUGUUAAAGACUGGAGCUCAACUCCGGAACGGCGGUGGAAACUUGGAAACUAGAGUUCGGUAGGGGUAGCAGGAAUUCCCAGUGUAGCGGUGAAAUGCGUAGAUAUUGGGAAGAACAUCGGUGGCGAAGGCGUGCUACUGGACCGUAACUGACACUCAGGGACGAAAGCUAGGGGAGCGAAAGGGAUUAGAUACCCCUGUAGCCCUAGCUGUAAACGAUGGAAACUAGGUGUGGCUUGUAUCGACCCGAGCCGUGCCGUAGCUAACGCGUUAAGUUUCCCGCCUGGGGAGUACGCACGCAAGUGUGAAACUCAAARGAAUUGACGGGGGCCCGCACAAGCGGUGGARUAUGUGRUUUAAUUCGAUGCAACGCGAAGAACCUUACCAGGGCUKKACWUCCGAUCGGUAACSUAAGUCUCCGGWGMAACGGGGCUGMUGWSUSCACYCGGUCGGRAGYGYGUAAUCACAGGUGGUGCAUGGCUGUCGUCAGCUCGUGUCGUGAGAUGUUGGGUUAAGUCCCGCAACGAGCGCAACCCUUAUUUUUAGUUGCCAGCAUUAAGAUGGGCACUCUAGAAAGACUGCCGGUGACAAACCGGAGGAAGGUGAGGACGACGUCAAGUCAGCAUGCCCCUUACGCCCUGGGCUACACACGUACUACAAUGGUUGGGACAAAGGGCAGCGACUCCGCAAGGAAUAGCGAAUCUCAUCAAACCCAGCCUCAGUUCAGAUUGCAGGCUGCAACUCGCCUGCAUGAAGGAGGAAUCGCUAGUAAUCGCAGGUCAGCAUACUGCGGUGAAUUCGUUCCCGGGCCUUGUACACACCGCCCGUCACACCAUGGAAGCUGGUCACGCCCGAAGUAGUUACCCUAACCUUUCGAGGAGGGGGAUUCCUAAGGCAGGGCUAGUGACUGGGGUGAAGUCGUAACAAGGUAACC
rnacentral:rRNA from 1 species